rnacentral:lncRNA from 1 species
AUGUUUCUGAGGAUUCUGGGAAAUGAGCUCGACCGAGUGCUCUUCAGAGGGACGGGACCAUCAUCGUCUUUAUAUACAGUCACUGAUCGUCUUUAUAUACAGUCAGUGAUCGUCUUUAUAUACAGUCAGUGAUCAUCUUUAUAUACAGUCAGUGAUCGUCUUUAUAUACAGUCAGUGAUCGUCUUUAUAUACAGUCACUGAUCAUCUUUAUAUACAGUCACUGAUCGUCUUUAUAUACAGUCACUGAUCGUCUUUAUAUACAGUCAGUGAUCGUCUUUAUAUACAGUCAGUGAUCGUCUUUAUAUACAGUCAGUGAUCAUCUUUAUAUACAGUCAGUGAUCGUCUUUAUAUACAGUCACUGAUCGUCUUUAUAUACAGUCAGUGAUCGUCUUUAUAUACAGUCAGUGAUCGUCUUUAUAUACAGUCACUGAUCGUCUUUAUAUACAGUCACUGAUCGUCUUUAUAUACAGUCAGUGAUCGUCUUUAUAUACAGUCAGUGAUCGUCUUUAUAUACAGUCACUGAUCGUCUUUAUAUACAGUCAGUGAUCGUCUUUAUAUACAGUCACUGAUCGUCUUUAUAUACAGUCAGUGAUCGUCUUUAUAUACAGUCAGUGAUCGUCUUUAUAUACAGUCACUGAUCGUCUUUAUAUACAGUCAGUGAUCGUCUUUAUAUACAGUCAGUGAUCGUCUUUAUAUACAGUCAGUGAUCAUCUUUAUAUACAGUCACUGAUCGUCUUUAUAUACAGUCAGUGAUCGUCUUUAUAUACAGUAAGUUAUUGUCUUUGUGUUCAGUCAUUGAUCGUCUUUGACGCAUCACGAGAUAAAGAAUGGAAACGACAGGACGAUGACGUCGAGCUCACGUUUUCUUUUUCACAGAAGUUUAAAAAUUCUAAAAGUGAACAUUCAACACUUUCAUUUAUUUACACCAGAAUCGGAAAAAGAAAAUUGGUGAAAUUAAUUUAAUUUAAUUUAAUUAAAUGAGGAAAAUGAAGUUGGUGAGGGACGAGCGUUUUCAACUGUUUGUUGUUGACACACACACACACACACACACACACACACACACACACACACACACACACACACACAGUCUGCUGCCCCCACCCCCUCCUCCCUCCUCCUCUUCACAUAUUUCAGGCUUGUCACUUCUGAGCUGCGUCACUUUCUCCUCUGAACCGUCUCUGGACUCGUCGUCCUCCUCUGCUCUCGGGCCUGGUGGCCCCCGGCUCCUCGUGGCCCCCGGCUCCUCGUGGCCCCCGGCUCCUCGUGGCCCCCGGCUCCUCGUGGCCCCCGGCUCCUCGUGGCCCCCGGCUCCUCGUGGCCCCCGGCUCCUCGUGGCCCCCGGCACCUCGUGGCCCCCGGCUCCUCGCGGCCCCCCGGCUCCCUGUGGCCCCCCGGCUGCCCGCUUGGCCCCCCUUACAACCGGUCCACCAUGCGCUCUCUGCUGGACAGCAGCUGGAGGAAGUUCGGCCCGGCGGGUCGAGACUCUCUGGACUGGUCGCCCGGCCCCUCGGCGCUGCCCUCCACCGACCGGCAGACCACGGGUCAAAGGUCGGGCGAGGCCCUUAUCAGCGCAGGAUCCAUCACCUACAUCGUCAUAG